rnacentral:lncRNA from 1 species
AACAAGGCGGAGUCGCGGUAAGGAUCCAGUACUGAUGGUGUCACAGAAGCCAGAGACCUCAGACCAGACCAAUGACUCACUGCAGUGAACAUUUGCAAGUGAAGAUGUGUGGACAAAGAGGGGAUGACUUUAUUGAAGUAUGUGUGGCCUUGUUGGAGGAAGUGUGUCACUGUGGCACGGUAGGCUUUGAGGUCUCCUAUGCUCAAGCUAUGCCCAGUAUGGCAGGCACUCCGUUUCCUUCUGCUGCCUGUGGAUCAAGAUGUAGAACUCUUAGCUUCUUCUCCAGCACCACGUUUGCCUGCACACUGCAGUGUUUCCUGCUGUGAUAAUAGACUAAACUUCUGAAAAUUACUGUCAUUGGGGGCUGGAUCGAUGGCUCAUCAGUUAAGAGCACUGACUGCUCUUCCAGAGGUCCUGAGUUCAAUUUCCAGCAGCCACAUGGUGACUCACAACCAUCUGCAAUGAGAUCUGAUGCCCUCCUCUAGUGUGUCUGAAGAUAGCUACAGUGUACUCAUAUAAAUAAAAUAAGUAAAUCUUUAAAAAAGAAAAAAAAAG